rnacentral:tRNA from 1 species
GAGGGUGUAGCUCAGUGGUAGAACACGUGCUUAGCACACACGAGGUCCUAGGUUCCAUUCCCAGUACUUCCG